rnacentral:rRNA from 1 species
UACGGGGGGGGCAAGCGUUGUUCGGAAUUACUGGGCGUAAAGGGCUCGUAGGUGGCCCACUACGUCAGCCGUGAAAUCCCUCGGCUUAACCGUGGAACUGCGUCUGAUACUGGAUGGCUUGAGUUCGGGAGAGGGAUGCGGAAUUCCAGGUGUAGCGGUGAAAUGCGUAGAUAUCUGGAGGAACACCGGUGGCGAAGGCGGCCUGCUGGGCAGUUGCUGACGCUGAGGCGCGACAGCGUGGGGAGCAAACAGG